UUUCCAGUUUGGACAAGACAAGGCUCUGGGAUACUCUAUUGCAGCCUUUAAAUGUAUACAGGGGGCUUAAAGAAAGACAGAGAAAGAUUUUUUACCAAGGCCUGUAGUUUAAAUUGAGAAACGGACAUGCUGCAUUGUCAGAUUUAUCAGGGCAGGAUCAUCCUCUCAUUGGACACACUGCUUGAACAACCAGGGCAAGCCUGUGAUGGUGUAAAGUAAUUAAUUUCCACAGAACUGUAUCAGCUCACACCAGCUGAGGUUUGGUCCUUGUACACUGUUAUCAGCAGAGAAAAAGAAAAUGAAAAUGAAAGUGAAAUUGAAAACUAAAAUGAAAAUGAAGACACACGCACCCCUGAACAUGACAGUCAUGAACUUCAGUUAUGGUUUCUUUUGUUUGGUUUGGUUUUGGUUGUGUUUCUUUAAGAUUGUGUUAUUUCUAAAAGUAACACAAUUAAAAAUCCUUCUAUAACUCUCAGGAAAAUAAAUUUAAAAAAAUGUCUUGCAAGGUUUUCUUCUUGACUUUUUCAUAGAAAUUUCAGGUAAGUGCAAAGCAGUUUAGAUGGUUAGUCAAAUAGAAUUAA